rnacentral:rRNA from 1 species
UAAUACGGAGGGUGCGAGCGUUAAUCGGAAUUACUGGGCGUAAAGCGUGCGUAGGCGGAGGGGUCAGUCGGCCGUGAAAGCCCCGGGCUCAACCUGGGAACGGCGGUCGAGACGGCCCGUCUCGAGUGGGCUAGAGGAUCGUGGAAUUCCGGGUGUAGCGGUGAAAUGCGUAGAGAUCCGGAGGAACACCGAUGGCGAAGGCAGCGGUCUGGGGCCACACUGACGCUGAGGCACGAAAGCGUGGGGAGCAAACAGG